AACGAACGCUGGCGGCAUGCCUAACACAUGCAAGUCGAACGGGAUCCUAGCUUGCUAGGUGAGAGUGGCGGACGGGUGAGUAACACGUGGGAAUCUGCCUUUUGGUUCGGGAUAACCGCGGGAAACUGCGGCUAAUACCGAAUGCCCUCGUGAGAGGAAAGAUUUAUCGCCAGAAGAGGAGCCCGCGUCCCGAUUAGGUAGUUGGUGGGGUAAAGGCCUACCAAGCCGACGAUCGGUAGCUGGUCUGAGAGGAUGAUCAGCCACACUGGGACUGAGAUACGGCCCAGACUCCUACGGGAGGCAGCAGUGGGGAAUAUUGGACAAUGGGGGCAACCCUGAUCCAGCAAUGCCGCGUGAGUGAUGAAGGCCUUAGGGUUGUAAAGCUCUUUUGCCAGGGAAGAUGAUGACUGUACCUGGAGAAUAAGCCCCGGCUAACUUCGUGCCAGCAGCCGCGGUAAU
rnacentral:rRNA from 1 species